UUUUUGUCUGCCGUUCUCAAUUCGCAGAAGUAAAUCAAUUUAGAGGUCACCUUGCUUCCCUCUUCAAAAACAUUUAAGUUCACCUGGCACGUGCUGGCUUUCGAGUUAAAUGCCAGUUCAACACCAUUUCCCGGAUUAAUUCGCAUAGAUUCACUCCAACAUUUCAUCAGAUUGCGAUUUUCCUCUUCUUCCGCUGCUGCCGCCACUGAUUCGUCUGCACUAGCCGCUGUUGUUGUUGUCGUUGGAGCUGCUGUUGAAGCUGCAGCAACCACAGCCGAUGCCGAAGAUGCUGGAGCAGCUGAUGCCGAAGGUUUAUUACCACCCCCACUCACGUCGGUGGUGAUGUUGUUCUCGGAAACAACAGGUAGAAUACCAGGUGAAUAUAAACCAGGCGGCAUCGCAGGAU